rnacentral:rRNA from 1 species
GACGAACGCUGGCGGCGUGCCUAAUACAUGCAAGUUGAGCGCUGAAGGUUGGUACUUGUACUUAUUGGAUGAGCAGCGAACGGGUGAGUAACGCGUGGGGAAUCUGCCUUUGAGCGGGGGACAACUUUUGGAAACGAAUGCUAAUACCGCAUAAAAAUUUUAAACACAAGUUUUAUGUUUGAAAGAUGCAAUUGCAUCACUAAAAGAUGAUCCCGCGUUGUAUUAGCUAGUUGGUGAGGUAACGGCUCACCAAGGCGAAGAUACAUAGCCGACCUGAGAGGGGGGGAGGACAAACGGGGCAUGAGAACGGGCCCAGCAUACUACGGGAGGCAGCAGUAGGGAAUAUUCGGCAAUGGGGGCAAACCUGAACGAGCAACGCCGCGUGAGUGAAGAAGGUUUUAGGAUCGUAAAGCUCUGUUGUAAGUCAAGAACGAGUGUGAGAGUGGAAAGUUCACACUGUGACGGUAGCUUACCAGAAAGGGACGGCUAACUACGUG